AGCUCAGUGGUAGAGCGCACCCUUGGUAAGGGUGAGGUCGGGAGUUCAAUCCUCCCC
rnacentral:tRNA from 1 species